rnacentral:rRNA from 1 species
CUACGGGUGGCUCCAGUGAGGAAUAUUGCACAAUGGGGGGAACCCUGAUGCAGCAACGCCGCGUGGAGGAUGACGCAUUUCGGUGUGUAAACUCCUUUUAUAUGUCAAGAAAAUGACGGUAGCAUAUGAAUAAGCACCGGCUAACUCCGUGCCAGCGAGCCGCGGUAAUACGGAGGGUGCAAGCGUUACUCGGAAUCACUGGGCGUAAAGGACGCGUAGGCGGGUUGGAAAGUCAGGUGUGAAAUCCUACAGCUUAACUGUAGAACUGCACUUGGAACUUCUAAUCUAGAGUAUGGGAGGGGGAGAUGGAAUUAGUGGUGUAGGGGUAAAAUCCGUAGAUAUCACUAGGAAUACCUAAAGCGAAGGCGAUCUCCUGGAACAUUACUGACGCUAAGGCGUGAAAGCGUGGGGAGCAAACAGGAUUAGAUACCCGGGUAGUC